AACUUUGCGAAGUAUGAAUUCUUCUCUUUCAGUCAUAAAAGGCAACAAUAUUGGAUGGACUGAAAAAGGACUAUGUGCUGGUACUAUAAUUAACUAAUUAGAAAAAUAAAUGAACGAAUUAAUAAAUAAAUAAGUAAAUGCAAGUUAAGAUUGGUGUGAGAAAAUAGUUCAGAUUUUGGAGACAAUGGAGGCAGGAGCCAAUCAAAGACUCCAGGUUUUUAUCUAUUGGAGGAAGGAGGAGUCUUGUUUUUUUUUUUUCUCCAUUCCUGAAGACCUCCUAACAGAUUUGGUAUAUAGCAGCUCAACUGCUUACCUACAAGAAGAAAGGUCAUUCAACAGCUGAAGAGUCAGUAUAAGAGACUUUGAAGCACAUCUCAGGGAGCCAAACCACACACAGAUGGAGGCAGACACUUAUAAAUGGAAGUGGCUAUGAGGAGUCUGGUGCCUGAUAACAAAGAAAGGAGACAGUUUAAGGGCUCAAGAGAGAUAGAGCUGGCAAUUCAGAAUCAAGUUUUGGAGAAGCACAGAUGUUGAUAGACCUUUCAAGUACUCUAUAGAAAUAUUGCUCACUGUGAAGCCAUCAGGUAACAUAGACUCUAUGAGGAAAGUCUCUACACAGUUGCAAUUGUGAGAAGUCUUGACUACGAGUUCCUUUUAGUUCUGAGAUCGAGUCGGAGGCUAGUGAAGAAUCUGCUGACUGGACAUGAGACCUUUCCUCAUGUGACUGUUCUUAAACGUCUCCCUUUGGACUGACACGUGGACAUGAAGACAUCUAGUGUAUGAUGACAUUGGUACCAUCUAUAUAUCAUAUCACUUGACAUUUUGGAAAGGGGGAAAGAGUUAAGAAGGAGGAAAAGAAUAUGGAUUGCGAGAUUCAAGAAGAUAAUUAUCUAAAUUGCAUCUGAAAAAACAAAAGAAAUAUUUCUUCAUUAGUUUUAUGGAGAUUUUUUCAAAAGUCUAGAAAUGGUUUGUAUUAGAUCCUUUGGAAUCUCUUUCUUCAUAUGCUUUGGCAAUUUAUCAGUGGUGGGAUGACUCCUUUCUUAUAAAUUUGAAUAAAUUUAUUGUAUAAUUUGGCAGAUUAAUUUGCUAUAUACAUUUUUCCUGGUUAGCUGUUUCCCUUCUCAGCUGCUUAGAUUUAUUUGUGUAAAUAAAUUUUAAUUUUAUGUAACUGGAAUAGUUUUGGGAUUUUCUCCCUUCCUUGCUUGCUCAUGAAAUCUCUCUGUAUUCAGAGAUUUGAAAUGAAAUUUCUCUAUUGCUCUUAUAAUAUGCUUAUGAUGUAAACUUUAUAUCUAGUUUAUAUAGCCUUUUGUAGCUAACCUUGGUAUGGAAUAAAG